GGUAAMCUGAGAAACCCGAAAGGUCGAAGGGGGAGAUUCAAUCGUGUUUCGAUAUGUAAACGACUAUUGAAUAUGUUUGUGACGUUCUUGUCUGACUAGUAUGCAAUUUGUGUAUUAGAAGGUCAGAACGCAUAUCAUGUUCGUCGAACGUUCGAACGCGUGCACUUCUCCCCUUGUAGGACGUCGCGACCCGUUGGGUGCGGGUCUAAGGGGCUGACAGGGUAGACCCAUAAAUCAUACGUGAGGUUAUGUGUUUGUGGACCUGUUGCUUUCUGGCCCGCUCGCUCGACGGUAGACUUUUAUAAUGGUAUUGGGCCGCGAAUUAUUCGCGUCUGACAUAUGGCGAGCGCGCACGGUUUAACUCAUGUACCGGACCUAGUGCCGGUACUGGGCCCGUU
rnacentral:rRNA from 1 species